AGUGAACGCUGGCGGUAGGCCUAACACAUGCAAGUCGAACGGCAGCACAGUAAGAGCUUGCUCUUACGGGUGGCGAGUGGCGGACGGGUGAGGAAUACAUCGGAAUCUACUUUUUCGUGGGGAUAACGUAGGGAAACUUACGCUAAUACCGCAUACGACCUACGGGUGAAAGCAGGGGAUCUUCGGACCUUGCGCGAUUGAAUGAGCCGAUGUCGGAUUAGCUAGUUGGCGGGGUAAAGGCCCACCAAGGCGACGAUCCGUAGCUGGUCUGAGAGGAUAAUCAGCCACACUGGAACUGAGACACGGUCCAGACUCCUACGGGAGGCAGCAGUGGGGAAUAUUGGACAAUGGGCGCAAGCCUGAUCCAGCCAUACCGCGUGGGUGAAGAAGGCCUUCGGGUUGUAAAGCCCUUUUGUUGGGAAAGAAAAGCAGCAGGUUAAUACCCCGCUGUUCUGACGGUACCCAAAGAAUAAGCACCGGCUAACUUCGUG
rnacentral:rRNA from 1 species